GAAGGCAGGCAGGGGGACAAAGACUUUGCCCCCGCCAGCCUUCAGAAGAGGUCCUGGACCUCUUCUGAAGGCGGGCGGGGGCGAAAGUCUUUGCUCCCCGCCUUCAAAAGCCCUCCGGGACAGGCAGGCAGGGGAGCAAAGACUUUCGCCCCCGCCCGCCUUCAGAAGGUCUUCCUCCCCCCGCCCGGCUCGGAGCACCGUUCCGAAGCCGGGCGGCGGCGGAGGUCUUCCCUCC
rnacentral:sRNA from 1 species